AUAGACGCCAGGGAAAGAGGGAAGGAAAUAGAGACUUUUCACACCAAUCAGAAGUGACCUUGGUGAUGUCACGGGCAUUACGUAAGAGUAGGCCACCCGCGCAUGUGUCUGGGUUGUGGGCGGGGCGUGAGGCGCAUCCCUGAGGCGUGAUUGGCUUGCUGGCUGGCAGGUUCGGCAUCACCUAUGUGGGGCAGCGAUAGUGUCUGGAGGUGAUGGGUCCCCGCGCCUCAUCUGUAUACUGAGUGUUUUUUACCGGUUCCUGGGGGAGUUAUCGCGUCAGCCACGUCACGGCUGCUGGUUCAGGCCCUGUCGGUGUGUCUGAGGGUGCCGGCGUGUGCGUGGAGGCAAGGAUGCGGCGGGUACACGGUGCUAAAAUUGAGGAAGUGAUGCGUGGAUGGAAGGGCAGAGACAGGCACCGCGUCUGGCUUUCUGGUGGCGGCGGCGGCGGAUGAAGGUACUCUGCAAGGAAAGAUUGACAGCAAGAUACCAAGAUGAGAAAUGAAACCAGGAAAGAAAAUCAAGGAAAAAGAAGAAGUCGGCGUGCAGGACAAGCGUUCUAAAGAGACUAACAGGCUCGUCUGGAAGCUGCAAAGUGUUCUCGGUCUUAAAAAAUGACCGAGUGGGAGGGACAGGAAGACAGAAGAUUACAUGAAGGACAGCUCGGAAAUUAGAGGAUGGAAUAGUGAAGAGGUGGAAUUGUAGGUUUACAUAUUCAUUACGUGCUUUCAUUCCUUGUAGUCUAUUUCUUAAUGUUCCCAGCCACACUAAGGGUAUAAGAGAGCGGAGGG